rnacentral:piRNA from 1 species
UAGACAAGAAAAUGGUCCUGCCUGUGCCC